rnacentral:rRNA from 1 species
UACGAACUGCGCAAACGUUAUUCGGAAUCACUGGGCUUACAGGGUGCGUAGGCUGCCAGCCAGGUCCGAUGUGAAAUCCCACAGCUCAACUGUGGAAUGGCAUUGGAAACCGGUUGGCUUGAGUGAGCUAGAGAUGCACGGAACUUCCGGUGGAGCGGUGAAAUGUGUUGAGAUCGGAAGGAACACCAGAGGCGAAGGCGGUGCAUUGGGGCUUGUCUGACGCUGAGGCACGAAAGCCAGGGGAGCGAACGGG